AUUUUACCAGAAUAACCAACCCAAUGGAAGGCAAAUGAAUUAAAACAAGCUACAGAAGUGUAAACAUAAAGCCGUAUGAAUGACAGAUCUCACCCAGCAGGUUGGUGAGUCAGUACGUAGGAUGCAGUUGGGUUGCUAUAUCUCACCGGCUGGGCAAACAUAGAGGGCGGUUCCAUCUGACUUGGCACGGCAGGUAGAGUUGUGCAGGCAGGGGUUAUGCUGCAGGUCGCAGGGGUCGUAGGCCUGUUCACAGAGGAGGCCGGUAAAGAAGGGUGGGCAGGUGCAGGAGAACUCCCCUGGGACGUCAGACUCCACACAAUGUGCUCUAUUCAGGCAGGGAGAGGAUGAACAUUCCUUCACAUCCUCUCCACAAUCCAGGCCUGUCCAGCCACGAGGGCACGUGCACCUAUAAGAUGUUUGGACUCUCAUUCUGACGGCACCCAUUCACUGCAGAGGAUCCAUUGGUGAGCAAGUGAAGUAAUGCUAAAUUUCUCCAAAUCUGUUUGGGUGAAGAAACAAACUUAGCUACAUCUUGGAUGGCCUGAGGGUGAGUAGAUUUUCAGCAAAUUUUCAGUUUGGGUGAACUAUUCCUUUAAAAAAAGUUUCACACAAAGACAUGAACAAUAACUUUGAAAAAUGUCUUUAAAAUGAUGUACAUUCAGACAACAAUAAUGUCUUUAGCUACAUUAGUAUAUGAACAAAUGUCUAAUAUAUCGAACACACAGAGCUCCCAGCAUGUACUGCAUUCAAAAGUUGUGUGAUAGGAUUACUGUUUUACUGCCUGGGGUUUUGGUUUUAUGAUGCUCUUAUUUUUGUCAUCCCUGCUAGUUUCUUGUUGUGCUGUGAUGUUCAGAAUCAGAAUCAGACUCAGAAUGAGCUUUAUUGCCAGAAGCCGCUCAGACAGGGGUUGGAGCUGCACUCAUCUAUGUUGAUCUCACAGCGGGGCCCCGAGAAAGCCUGGCAACAUCGUCACCAGAAACCCAGAGGGAAGAGGACGGGAUCAGCCUCCUCCAUGCACUUUGCCCCAUUAUCACACGGAUUAACGGCCUCACAAGGCAGCAACUCACAGUUAAUCCCUGAAAUUUCAAAUACAUGACGAGAAAUUCCAUCUGCAACAAAAACAAUAACAGAAAAUGUUUGACUGUUCGUUUACU
ensembl:lncRNA